UACGGAGGGUGCAAGCGUUAUCCGGAUUCACUGGGUUUAAAGGGUGCGUAGGUGGGCUGGUAAGUCAGUGGUGAAAUCUCCAGGCUUAACUUGGAAACUGCCAUUGAUACUAUUAGUCUUGAAUACUGUGGAGGUCAGCGGAAUAUGUCAUGUAGCGGUGAAAUGCUUAGAUAUGACAUAGAACACCAAUUGCGAAGGCAGCUGGCUACACGAAUAUUGACACUGAUGCACGAAAGCGUGGGGAUCAAACAGG
rnacentral:rRNA from 1 species